CUAGAAAUUGCUAUAGGCUUAGCAUCAACAAUUUCUUCAUUUCCCUGAACUAUAACGCUCAAAGCCUUAGAAUUAUCAUCUUGUUUAGGUGUCUGUGGACUCUUUUUAAGUGCAAGCUUAGCCUUCUGCCUGGACCCCCAUAUUGCUGUCACAUUUAUAUUUCUCCAUUUAUCCUUCAAAUCAACAUUUGACCUUUGUCGCAGAAUGGCACUAAACUCAGGGUCCACAAGUAUUGUACGCCAUUUGCCUGUCCCAUGCUUAAGCACUCCAGCUUUAAGAGCUGCCUCUUCUUCUGCUGUCCACUUUUGCUUAGGAGCACCCAUCAGAGGAGGUUCUACGUCGUCACAGCAAAUAUC
rnacentral:misc_RNA from 1 species